UACGUAGGGUGCGAGCGUUAAUCGGAAUUAUUGGGCGUAAAGAGCUCGUAGGCGGUGUGUCACGUCGGCCGUGAAAACCUGCAGCUUAACUGUGGGCGUGCGGUCGAUACGGGCAUCACUGGAGUUCGGCAGGGGAGACUGGAAUUCCCGGUGUAGCGGUGAAAUGCGCAGAUAUCAGGAGGAACACCGGUGGCGAAGGCGGGUCUCUGGGCCGAUACUGACGCUGAGGAGCGAAAGCGUGGGGAGCAAACAGG
rnacentral:rRNA from 1 species